rnacentral:rRNA from 1 species
AGUGAACGCUGGCGGUAGGCCUAACACAUGCAAGUCGAACGGCAGCACAGUAAGAGCUUGCUCUUACGGGUGGCGAGUGGCGGACGUGUGAGGAAUACAUCGGAAUCUACUUUUUCGUGGGGGAUAACGUAGGGAAACUUACUCUAAUACCGCAUACGACCUACGGGGGAAAGCAGGGGAUCGUCUGACCUUGCGCGAUUGAAUGAGCCGAUGUCGGAUUAGCUAGUUGGCGGGGUAAAUGCCCACCAAGGCGACGAUCCGUAGCUGGUCUGAGAGGAUGAUCAGCCACACUGGAACUGAGACACGGUCCAGACUCCUACGGGAGGCCGCAGUGGGGAAUAUUGGACAAUGGGCGCAAGCCUGAUCCAGCCAUACCGCGUGGGUGAAGACGGCGUUCGGGUUGUAAAGCCCUUUUGUUGGGAAAGAAAAGCAGCAGGUUAAUACCCCGCUGUUCUGACGGUACCCAAAGAAUAAGCACCGGCUAACUUCGUG